AUCAGCUGUGCAAAGUAUCAUGCACCUUGCGAACGAAGAACAUACUGUUGUGCCUAUCUUAAGUGCAAAAAUCAGAAUGGAUUCAUGGAUUUCUAGCAAGUAGCAGUCGUUAGUAGAGCUACAAAAAGUGCACAGGAUCCAAAGGCACUUUAAAUACAUCAACAAUUUAGACGCUUUCAAGUUAACAUGAAAUAAAGAAAAAUAACACACAGAA
rnacentral:sRNA from 1 species